rnacentral:rRNA from 1 species
GUAGUCUCGCACAGAUGCAUAUCAAUAAGCGGAGGAAAAGAAACUAACAAGGAUUCCCCUAGUAACGGCGAGUGAAGCGGGAAGAGCUCAAAUUUGAAAUCUUAAAGGGUUUCCCUUUACGAAUUGUAGUUUAAAGAAGUGUUUUCUGUUGAGGUUUUGGUAAAAGUUCUUUGGAAUAGGACAUCAUAGAGGGUGAGAAUCCCGUAUUUGACCUUUACUUUCAACUUUGUGAUACACUUUCAAAGAGUCGGAUUGUUUGGGAAUGCAGUCCAAAAUGGGUGGUAAAUUUCAUCUAAAGCUAAAUAUUGGCGAGAGACCGAUAGCGAACAAGUACCGUGAGGGAAAGAUGAAAAGAACUUUGAAAAGAGAGUUAAACAGUACGUGAAAUUGUCAAAAGGGAAGCGUUUGACACCAGUGUUGUUUUUCUGAAAAUCAAUUAAAGAACUGUUUAUGCUAAGCUGUUUAGACUUUAUCAGCUAACUGUUUAGUUUUGAGCUUUUCUUUAAUGCACUUUUCAGUUAACAAGUCAACAUCUAUUUCUUUUGCUGUAAAAAAGCUUGAGGAAGGUGGCUUGAGAUUCGUCUUAAGUGUUUAUAGCCUCUUGCCUAUGCAGUCGGAGAGAUUGAGGUCUGCAGCGUAGAUCCUUCGGGGCUAAAUGCAUUUGUGCUAAGUUAUAGCAUUUUAUAGACAACUUGUUGACUAUGAUUUGUCUUGUAGCUUACUCGCUUAUGUUAUUUUACCUACGCUUAGGAUGUUGACAGCAGUAUAGACUGU